CAACAACAACAACAACAACAACAACAACAACAACAACAACGGUCGAGCGAUGUCUCCUACCAGCAGCCUCAGCAAAAAUAUCCAUCAGGCCAGGGCUCCUUCCAGCCAUCUCAGCAAAACCCACAGGCCCAGGGCUUUGUCCAACCUCAGCAACUGCCCCAAUUCGAGAAAAUAAGGAACCUAGCAUUGCAGACGCUACCAGCAAUGUGCAAUGUCUACAUCCCUCCAUAUUCUCGACCACCAUUGCGCCAUUUGGCAUCGUCGGCACUAACUGAGAAGAGAAGAACUCUAGUACUAGAUAUAUGAAACACCGUUUUCUUAAACCAUGGUUUGGUCAUUGUAGCGGUGAAAAAUAAAGUGACAUGCACUAUCAUGUAAGAACCCGAACUAGACUAUUUCAAAGUUGGAAAUAAAAGACAAACACAGGUCUUGUCUGCAUAUGAUUGUUUGUUUGAGUUCCAUUCAUGUGCCCAUUCACAAGUUCACCCCUAAUUAUAUAUAUUAAGCAUUUAGUAGAUGUUUAUGAGCAUUAAUCUAAAGAUAACAAAAUGAAUCUGAAACUUGAAUUUAAUUGAAGUAUUUUUUGGACUUUCAAAUUGAGCAUUGAUAGUGAGGACUAUCCACAUCCUUGGCUUGCCCUUGAUCAAUUAUUUCCAAAGAAGCAUUCAAUUCAUCAGUGAAUUACAUUGAUUUUUGUGGCUUGUACUUCUCCUCAACAUGAGUAUCUUUAUUGCGGCUACUCCAAAUCUCCCACAUAACUGAAGCAUUAAUAGCGCUCUUCCUUGCAUCAAGGAAAUAUGGAUCAAAGAUAUCUCUUGACCAUGUUUCCGGGUGCAACCUUGGGAGUUUUAUGUCAAAAUAUUCUCAAGCAGAAUCCAAGAAUAAACUUGCAUGCUCACAUGUGAUAAGGGCAUAUGAAGUAACAUUUCCUCACCAAGGCCACACAUAGGGCACACACAUAACCCCAUCACAUGCCUUUUUAGUUACGCAUAUGAUGGUUGCUUGUUUUUAAUUACUCUGCACCAAAAUACUCUUAAGUUGGAUUGUAGCUUUCAUUGCCUUUUCAAUUUUUCUUCCCCAUUAGAUGAACUAGACAAUCUAGCUACCACACGAUACCUUGUAUUCAUCACGGCUCUGUACAACAAUUGAGCAGAAGACAUGUCAUUUCUUUACCAUACCCAUGACCAAAUGUUCUCUGCUACUCCCUCCGUCCCAAAAAUACUUGUCAUUAAAAUGGAUAAAAGAGUAUGUAUCUAGAUGUGUUUUAGUUCUAAAUACAUCUCUUUUUGUCCAUUUUGAUGACAAGUAUUUCCGGAUGGAGGGAGUACAUUGUUUGGUCGUGGCAUAUUAAGGAUGGCCAGUUCACCUGAUGGAUAAACACGUAAUGAAUGGAUGGAGUGUUCAAGUCGCCCGUGUUUUUCAUCGAUAACAUCAGCUACAAGUUGGACCAGAGUUCCUCACAUGCAUGUAUCAUAGUGGUUUCAUCAGCGGUGUGCCCUACACCCAUUUAUCAUACAAUAUCUCUGUAGUAUGUGCAUUCCCAAUUUUUCACAACAUACCCUCCUUCAAACGUUCUCGCCCUUUCAGAAUAGCAUGCCAAGUUAGCGAUGCACUAUGCGGGAACCCGCAUUUGAAAAAAGAAAGAAUCUCAUUUCAUGGUAUCUUCCAUGAAGGACCCUCGUACACGAGCUAUCUAGAUAGAAAUAGCCAUGUGUGUUUAGCCAACUUUGCAUAAGUGAAUAUAUCAAGGUCAUGGUACCCCAAGCCUCCAAUUACACCCGACCUCUCUACCAACAAGAUGUCCAAAUACAUCAAGGAUAGACACAUCCAAAAAAGAAAAUAAAAAGAACAGAAGAAAAAAAAUACCCCUCUAGGGUGAUCAAUCGCUAGCAUGCAUCAGCAGCACUCUAACCACCACCGAAGACUAUGCCCAGAUUACAAAAAAGGUUCUCCAAAAGCAACGCCCCCAAGAAGGAAACAAUGCACAAGCGUUGUCGUUACCCGAUCGAAGAUCGUGGGUUUUCACCCACGAAAAAUAGUGAGUUCACCCAAAAACAAUGCCUUCAACAAGGCCAUUGCCAAGUACAACCAAUGAGGGCCAGACCUUGGGGUUUCACCCUAGGAAUUGAGAAUCUAUACUCGAGGAGUACCACCAAAAAUGCAUCACCCUCCUCUCAAUCCAAACUUGCAGAAAAAGAUCAAUGAUGCCGCAUCGUGCCACCCAUAUCCGUGGAGGCCUGAACUUGGCAAGACACCAACCAUGGCUGGAGAUGGGGACCAGCCACUCCUGGCCAGAUCUGGUGACUCCUAGUCCCACCACUACCGCUACGGUGGCACCACGUGUAGCAUACCAGAUUCCAUGGGUGUUAGAAUCAUUACUAUGUAAUCUAGAUUAUUGACUCUCGUGCAAGUGGGAGACUGGAGGAAAUAUGCCCUAGAGGCAAUAAUAAAGUUGUUAUUUAUAUUUCCUUAUGUCAUGAUAAAUGUUAAUUGUUCAUGCUAGAAUUGUAUUAACCGGAAACUUAGUGCAUGUGUGGACAUAGACAAAACAAAGUGUCCCUAGUGUGCCUCUACUGGACUAGCUCGUUAAUCAAAGAUGGUUAUGUUUCCUGACCGUAGACAUGUGUUAUCAUUUGAUGAACGAGAUCAAACCAUUAUAGAAUGAUGUGAUGGACAAGGCCCAUACGUUAGCUUAGCAUAAUGAUCGUUAAAUUUUAUUGCUAUUUCUUUCUCCAUGACUUAUACAUGUUCCUCUGACUAUGAGAGUAUGCAACUCCCGAAUACCGGAGGAACACCUUGUGUGCUAUCAAACAUCACAACGUAAUUGGGUAAUUAUAAAGAUGCUCUACAGGUGUCUCUGAAGGUGUUUGUUGAGUUGGCGUAGAUCGAGAUUAGGAUUUGUCACUCCGUGCAUCAGUGAGGUAGCUCUGGGCCCUCUCGAUAAUGCUCAUCACUAUAAGCCUUGCAAGCAAUAUGACUAAUGAGUUAGUUAUGGGAUGAUGCAUUAUAGAACGAGUAAAGAGACUUUUCGGUAACGAGAUUGAACUAGGUAUGAAGAUACCAACAAUCGAAUCUCAGGCAAGUAACAUACCGAUGACAAAGGGAACAAUAUAUGUUGUUAUGCGGUUUGACCGAUAAAGAUCUUCGUAGAAUUUGUGGGAACCAAUAUGAGCAUCCAGGUUCCGCUAUUGGUUAUUGAUCGGAGAUGUGUCUCGAUCAUGUCUACAUAGUUCUCGAACCCGUAGGGUCUACACGCUUAAUGUUUGAUGACGAUUUUUAUUAUGAGUUAUGUGUUUUGGAGACUGAAGUUUGUUCGGAGUCCCGGAUGAGAUCACGGACAUAAUGAGUCUCUAAAUGGUCGAGAGGUAAAGAUUGAUAUAUUGGAAUAUUACAUUCGGACACCGGAAUGGUUUUGGGAAGUUUCGUAUAAGUUUUGAAGUACCAGGAGUUUAUCGGAAUCCNNNNNNNNNNNNNNNNNNNNNNNNNNNNNNNNNNNNNNNNNNNNNNNNNNNNNNNNNNNNNNNNNNNNNNNNNNNNNNNNNNNNNNNNNNNNNNNNNNNNNNNNNNNNNNNNNNNNNNNNNNNNNNNNNNNNNNNNNNNNNNNNNNNNNNNNNNNNNNNNNNNNNNNNNNNNNNNNNNNNNNNNNNNNNNNNNNNNNNNNNNNNNNNNNNNNNNNNNNNNNNNNNNNNNNNNNNNNNNNNNNNNNNNNNNNNNNNNNNNNNNNNNNNNNNNNNNNNNNNNNNNNNNNNNNNNNNCUCCCCUUUGAAAACCCGAAUUGGACAAGGGGUGAGGGCAGCGCCCCCCUUUCCUUCUCGUACUCCCUCUCCUUUCCCCCUUUGCUACUCCGGAAAAAAGGAAAAGGUGGAUGGGCUAAAUCCUACUAGGUUUGGAGUGCUAGUAGAACUCCCCCCUCCAUGGCACUCCCCCUGGUCGCCGGCCUCCUCUCCCCUCCUUUAUAUACAGGGGCAGGGGGCACCCCAAAGGCACAACAUUGUUCUAGCCAUGUGUGGUGCCCCCCCCCCUCUACCGUUUGCUCCUCCAAUAGUAUCACCAUAGUGCUUAGGCGAAGCCCUGCAUGGAUCACAUCAUCAACACUUUCAUCACGCCGCCGUGCUGACGAAACUUUCCCUCGACCCUCUGCUGGAUCAAGAGUUCGAGGGACGUCAUCGAGUUGAAUGUGUGUUGAACUCGAAGGUGUCGUACAUUCGGUGCUAUAUCAGUUGGAUCGUGAAGACAUUCAACUACAUGAACCGCGUUAACAUAACGCUUCCGCUUUUGGUUUACGAGGGUACGUGGACACACUCUCCCCCUCUCGUUGCUAUGCAUCUCCUAGAUAUGUCUUGCCUAAUCGUAGGAAUUUUUUUGAAAUUGCAUGCUACGUUCCCCAACAAAAAAUAUGCAGUGUUGAGAUCGCCAUCUCUGAGCCAGGGAUACGGGGCCGCUGUCGUAGGCAGAUCUCCUCCUGGUGGAGAGCCUCACAUGGCUAACGUACCACUGCUCUUUCUUCCUCAGUUGUCCCUCGACACACCGACCGACACCUUAGCUUGUCCAGCCGAUCUUCUGCAAUUGUCUGACCUGAUGAGUUAAGCAACCAAACUCGCGGGGCCCCAAAGGUUCCAGCUUCGCCUUCAAAUGAUUCAGUGAAUCCGCUAUACCUUGGAGUCUUGGUCCUCUAUUUGCCUCCUGCCACGCAGCAGCAACAACGCGAUCAUAAUCCACAUGCAAUGACCACAUGUUCUCAAAUAUGAAAUGUUUCUUGGCUCGUGACGUGUUCAUAAGAUUUUCCUUUAUCUCCACUGCAAAAAAGCAAUGAUCAGAUUCUACGGAAGGUAGGUGUCUGAUUCUGAUGUAUUGAAAGUGUUGCCAGAACUCUUCACUAGCAAAAGAUCUAUCGAGCCUCGCCUUAACAUUCGCGUCACCUAACUGCCGAUUAUCUCAGGUGUACGUUGUGCCUGACCACCCCAAAUCUUGGAGGGCCACUUCAUCGGUGACUUCUCUGAAAGCUCUCAUUUGUCUCUCUAGCCUAGCUGUCCGACUGAAGUAUUCAUUAGCAUAGAGAGUCUCGUUAAAGUCACCCAUACAAAUCCAAGCCGCAUGCGACAUGGCAUAAAAGUGCGCAGAAAACGCCAACUAUGAUGUCUAUCUUCAGCUCGAGGCGCUCCAUAGAAACUAGUGAACCUCCACUCAAAAGAGUUUUGGUCCUUAUAUUUAACCAUUGCAUCAAUAUGUCCAGGACUAAGAUUCUUUAGAUCGACAAUAACAUCAUGUGUCUAGAAAAGCCCAAUACCACAACUUAGGCCUACACUAUUCACUGCAAAGCACCCGCCGAAGCCUAGAUGUCUAUGCAAGUCCUCAACUCUCUUCCCUUUUAUUUUUGUUUCCGUGACGAAGAGAAGAGUGGGUCCUUGUAGUUCACAAUGAUGCGAAGCUCUCGAACCACCUCGGGGUUCCCAAGCCCCCAGCAGAUCCAUGAGAGGCAACUCAUUGGGCCGGGUAGGACCGAUCACCUGUCUCCGCCGAAUUGUCAAGCGUAGGCUCUUCUUCUUUGGUUCAUGUACCAAGUCCUCAUCAACCUCCCUCCCAGAUGUGCUCGUGCUCGGGUCAUCUUCUUCAGAGUGUUGAGCUGCCGUCAGUAGCAACUGCUUUGGCUGAUACACCACUGUGGGUCCUUCUUUCAUCUUGAAUCGUGUCUUCUCUUUGUUCUUCAAGGGUGAGACCACCUCUCCCCCCCCCCUCCCCGUUUGGUUUGGAUCUAGUACUCGAUUUCUUUGUUCCUUGUUUGCUGCUCUGAUCAGACCUCUCUCCCCUGGAAGAAUUUUCGCUGCUUGCCGGGUAUCUGUUCUAAUCAGGAGCUCUCAGUUUCGGCCCAAAAGGAAGCUCGCCCUUCUCAUCUCUUGAUCCUGGAUUGCAGUAGUAGAGUUCUGAGUGGCCCAGCCGUCCACAGGAGAAACAGAAGUAUGGGGUCUGUUCAUACUGUAUGUUAUAGGAGUCCACCUUCUUCCUCCUUGCAAAAUCAAUGAGCACCCAUCUCCUGAGCGGUUUGUUGACAUCCACAGAAACUCUAGCUUGGAGAUAGCCUCCAUUGUUAUUAAACUUAACAAUCUGGACCGCCUUGUCGAUCAUCCGUGCUAUUAGGAGGCCCCAUGCAUCAUUUCUCAGGUUGUAGGGUAGGUUAAAAACCCUAGCCCACACCUGCAAACUAUCGAACUUGACCUCAUAUGGGCGCAUGCAAUCUUCAAACUCAGCCAGUAUGAUCGUGUUCUUGUUGAUGUGCCAAGGCGAUCCAGCCCAAACACUGUCACAAUCGUGUUGAGACUCGAAUUCGGCAACGUAACUAUUCAUUCCAACCGAACGGAAUUGCAGUCCUCUAGGGUUUUCCCAUGCCGGUCGAAGAGCAUUGCCAAUGGUAUGUAUAUGAUACUGGUUUCAUUAUAGGACCUUGCCCUCCAGCAACCACUUCACCGAAGCACCUUCAAGACGAUCAUCAAUCAUGAGGGGAGUCGCCUCUUCCUCGGAUAUGUCCAGCUUCCCCAGAGCUUCCUUCCUCUAGUUUCUCCCUUGCCGAUCUAGGGUUGCUCGAGCCGGAGUUCUCCUGCGCCUCUUCUGCCGCGGGUGGUGUUGCCAUCGCCGAUGAGACCCGACAUGCUAGUAAUCAUAGUAAACGCACACUAAAAUUCAAGGUUGCAUGCAUGGCCAACAGCUACCUAGGUCACGUACGUACACGACCGGACUGUGAACAAGAGAGAUCGGGGAAGCAAUGCACCUUAGGUGCUGCUGUAUUCCUCUUGGGGUAUAUAUGGUGUUAAAGUACAACAGAGAGAGCGCAUGGCGCAGUGGGGCGACGUGCUGCAGAUCGUGGUGAUCGUGCAUGUCGUGGGAGAGCUAUACAGCUGAGCUAUACAACUGGUGUCAGUUAACACCCCACCGCAGUUUGAGCGUCCGGCGGUCGGAUGCACAAGCUGGAAUGAAAGUCCUCGAACGCCGCCGUGGGCAGCCCUUUGGUGAGCACGUCGGCGAACUGUUGCUGCGUCGGCACAUGCAGGACACGAAGUUGCCCGAGCGCCACCUUCUCGCGGACAAAGUGGAUGUCCAACUCGAUGUGUUUGGUGCGGCAAUGGUGAACGGGGUUGGCCGCCAUGUACACGGACGAGAUGUUGUCGCAGAAGACGACACUGGCCUUGGUCAGGGGCACGUGGAGCUCGCCGAGAAGUUGACGAAGCCAGCAGCUUUCAGCGACGGCGUUGGCCACGGCGCGGUACUCUGCUUCGGCGCUCGAAUGGGACACCGUGGCCUGGCAUUUGGAGGACCAGGAGACCAAGGAGUCACCGAGGAAGAUGGCCUAGCCUGACAUGGAGCGGCGUGUGUCGGGGCACCCUGCCCAGUCGGCGUCGGAGUAGGUGACGAGCUCGAGAGGAGACGCGCGCUGUAGGUGUAGACCGUGCGUGGUGGUGCCGCGCAGAUAACAAAGUAUUCGUCUGACCAGAGCGAGGUGAGGAGCACGCGGGUCAUGCAUGACGAGGCAGCACUGCUGGACGGCAUAGGCGAUGUCGGGCUGCGUCAUGGUCAUGUACUGGAGUGCACCGACGAGACUGCGGUACUCUGAGGGAUCGGAGACGGGUGCACCAUCGGUGGCGGAGACCUUGGUGCGGGCGUCGACCAGAGUGGACACGGGCUUGCAGGCCUGCAUGUUGGCGCGGUCUAGAAGCUCCUCUGCGUACUUGUGUUAUGACAGGUAGAAGCCACGCUCGCUGCGGGUAACCGCGAUGCCGAGAAAAUAGUGCAGUGGCCCGAGGUCCUUCAUGGAGAACUCCGCGAAGAGCUGUCGUUGCAGGUGUUGGAGCAGUGUAGUCGACGAGGCGGCAAGGACGAUGUCGUCGACGUAGAGCAGGAGGUAUGCCAUGCCGCUGCUGUUGUGGAGGACGAACAGCGAGGGAUCGGCGCGUGAGCUGGAGAAGCCGAUCCGACGAGCGUACGCCGCGAAGCGGGCAAACCAGGCAUGGGGCGCCUGCUUGAGGCCGUACAAUGAUUUGUCGAGGAGACAAACGUGGUCGGGAUGGGCGUCGUCGACGAAGCCGGCCAGCUGUUGACAGAGGACCUGCUCGGAGAGGCGCCUGUGGAGGAAGGCGUUGUUCACGUCCAUCUGGUGAACCGGCCAGUCGCGAGAAGCAGCAACGGUGAGCACCACGCGAAUGGUGGCAGCCUUGACCACGGGGGAGAAGGUCUCGUCGAAGUCGACCCCUGGGCGUUGGGAGAAGCCGCGGACGACCCAGCGUGCUUUGUACCGCUCCAGGGUGCCGUCGGCUUUGAACUUGUGCCGGAACAGCCACUUGCCGGUGACGAUGUUGGCGCCGGCUGGUCAGGGAACGAGUCGCCAUGUCUGGUUGUCCAUCAGAGCCUGUACUCCACCUGCAUCGCAGACAGCCAACAUGGAUCGCGCAGAGCAGCCUGCACACUCUUUGGAACGGGGGAGAUGGAUAUGUCAGUGGUAGCGGAGAGGCUGGUGUUAAAUUUAGGGUUUGGGAGGAAUUUGCCGGCCUGCGCGCGGGUUUGCAUGGGGUGGCUGGGAGGGGGGCGCGCGUCGAUGGACGGUGGAUGCUGGCGGGGGAUCCGUGUCCUCGACAGGCGGUUCGACUGGCAGGAUGGCAGCGUCCGGGGUCGGGGUUGGGUGGGGAGGUGUUGGCGGCGACAGCGCGGCUAUGGUAGGGGAGUGCGGCGCGGCAGCUGGUACAGUAGGCGUGCCAGGCGGAGAGGGCGGUGGCGCUGCGGCGGUAGCGGGUGGUGCAGCAGCGUCAUGACGCUCAUGAGGGCGUAGGGAGCGCGGACACCGUGGCACGAGUGGCGCGAUCGCGUGAUCGAGGGGUGUCAGCCGGUGGUGCAGGGGCAGGUGUUUGAAAUGGGAACGUGUGUUCAUCAAACACGACAUGGCGUGAUAUGACGACGCGCCCGGUCAUCCUGUUUAGACACCUAUAGCCCUUGUGGUCAGGUGAGUACCCGAGAAGGACGCAGGGUGCGGAGCGGGGCGCGAGCUUGUGGGGCGUGGUGGGCGUCAUGUUGGGGUAACAUAGACAUCCAAAGACGCGGAGCGAGGUGUAGUCUGGGUGCGAUCCAUAGAGUAGAAAGAAUAGAGUUUGGUCAUGUCGAGGAUGGCAUGGUCGACGGUUGAGAAGGAAUGAGGUAGUCUGAAGUGCCUCCGCCCAGUACUCGUAGGGCAUGUGUGCAUGCACGAGGAGUGAGCGAGCAAUGUCAUUGAGCGUGCGCAGGGCGCGCUCGGCCCGUCCAUUCUGUGGCGAGGAGUACGGGCAUGACAUACGAAGGACAACGCCAAGGGAGGAGAAGAGCGUGCGAGCGGCCUGGUUAUCAAAUUAUCUGCCAUUGUCUGUUUGUAGGGUGAGAACUGGGAGAUUAAAGUGAUUACGCACAAAGGUGAAGAAGUGGCGCAGUUUAGGAAAGACGUCUGAUUUAUGCUUGAGCGGGAAGGUCCAAGCGAAAUGGCUGUAAUCAUCGAGUAAUAGGAGAUAAUAUUGACAACCAGAUAUGCUCAUAAUGGUCGAUGUCCAUACAUCACAAUGAACUAACUGGAACGGAAAAAACGACACAUGAUCGGAUGAACUAAAAGGUAGCCUAGUACUUUUGCCUAGUUGACAAGCAUGACAGACAUGGCCGCCGCCGCCCGUGUGGUCGAUGGAGGAACGACGGAGGGUGUGAUCAAGGGCAUCAGCGCCAAGGUGCCCGAAGCGCUGGUGCCACAAGUCACGCGAGACGGCGGUGAGUGCAUGAUGAGCCUGGACUGGUGCAUGGGGCAUGGGGUAGAGCUCGUCGUCGACAGAGUUACACCGAAGGAUCACCUUCCUCGUGCUUCGAUCCUUAAGAGAGAAACCAAUAUCAUCAAACUCAACAUUAACAGGGUUUUCGCGAGCGAGCUUUUUGACAGAGAUUAGGUUUUUGAUGAGGUGGGGUGAGACUAGGACGUUGUUGAGGGACAGGGGGGGUGUGGGUGGGGAUAUUGAGAUGCCCGGAGUGCGUGACUGCAAAGGAAUCCCCAUUGCCGACUACAAUGCGAGCAGAAUGACAAGGCUGUGAGGAUGAUAGCAUACCAGAGGAGGAGGCCAUGUGCGAUAUGGCUCCUGUGUCGAGGUACCACUCCGCGCCGGGCAGUGUGAUCGGUUGCUGCUGCUGCAUCGUCAGGUUGUUGAGGGCCUGGACGAGGGAGGCUUGAUCCCAGCUGGGCAUGGAAGAAGCAGCAGAGCCCACGGCCGGCGCUCCGUACAGCGGAUGAGGCGGCACGGCGGGCUGCCAAACAGUCGGCAGCCCGUAGUUGGUGUUGUUGUUGGGCGCCGCAGACUGGUGGUAGGCCAUGCCGGCGAACGGCGCGGCACCGCCAGGGCGUGGCCCGAGAAUGCCGGCGCCCGGAGCAUGCGGACGCCAUGGCAUGGGCCAGGCGUGCACCAUGCCAGUCCAUGGUGCCGGGGCUGGAGCAGCGGGACGAGGUGGCGCGCCGCCCCCGCCGGAGUUGGAGGACUGCCCCCCGCCGUAGUGAGAGCUCUUGCCCUUGCCCUUGUUGCGUCCGCCACCGCCGCGGGUGGUGCCACCACCACUGUUCCCGCCGCCGUUGUUGGUGUUGGGAGCACGGGCGGCAUGGAGAGCGGUGUCCGUGGUGGUGUCAGCGGCCUGAUGGCUUUCCUCCAGGAGUAGAAAAGCGCGGCAGCGGAGGAAGGUGGGGAAGGGGGUCUGCAUUGUGAGGAUAGGUAUGGCGUAGCGAAAGCGCGGGUGCAGCCCGCGGAUCAUGUUCAGUACCUGAUCACGAUCGUCGACAAGGGCGCCGAGGUCGGCGAGGCGUUCGGCGCACUCCUUGAGCUUGGUGAAGAAGGAGAUGGUGGACAUGUUGCCUUGCUCGAGAGGACGAAAUUCGGUGGCGAGGAGGACCACCUGGUGCUCGCUGUUCUCGAGGAAGAGGGUGCAGAUGGCGGCCCACACCUCCGCCGCGGUCACACCACGCUGAUGGAUGAGCGCGAAGAUGUCGGCACUGAUGCGGUUGUAGAGCCUGGACACGAUGUGAGCGUCGUCCUGCAUCCAGCCCGGAUCAGCACGGCGCGGUGCGCCGGUGAUGUGGCCGGCGACGCCGCUCUUCUGGAACAUCACUUCGAACAGGGUGCGCCAGUGGGAGAAGUUGGGAGGGUUGAGGGAGAGCACGAUCGGGACGUGCUGGUUGAUGUACACGCCGGAGAGGGGAGAUGGGUUGGACGGUGCAGUGGAGGAGGUGGCGCUGGGGUCGGGGACGAACAGAGCACCACCGUGGUUGAGGAGGGAGGGGGUGAGGAGUGUGGGGCGGCGAGCCGCUGGGGUAGCAAGAGAGCCGCCGGCGCAUCCACCGAAACCAAAGCCGGGCGGGGGAGGAGGUGGUGAAGGGGCGGCCAUGGCUGGGUGUGGUGGAGCAGUUGGCAGGAGAGUGCAGCGGAAGAGGUCUAGCGACGCAGGAGGAGACCGGCGUCUGAUACCAUGUGAACAAGAGAGAUCGGGGAAGCAAUGCACCUUAGGUGUUGCUGUAUUCCUCUUGGGGUAUAUAUGGUGUUACAGUACAACAGAGAGAGCGCAUGGCGCAGUGGGGCGACGUGUUGCAGAUCGUGGUGAUCGUGCAUGUCGUGGGAGAGCUAUACAGCUGAGCUAUACAGCUGAGCUAUACAACUGGUGUCAGUUAACACGGACGAUGGAAAUGGACACCUAGAACCGGUGGGCCUAUGACUACCACUGCCGACCUGACACGUGGCCGCAUGCAUGGAGUACGGCGAUUCUCCGGAAGCUGAUGUCAUGAGGCCAGUCUACCACGUGUGUCACACUAUGUCCAUGUAAACAAACGCUUUGGUUUGGCAGUUAACUCGUGGUGAUAUGCAACUAGUGGAGUAGUUUCUUAAAGUCAAUAGUACGUCUUUAGGUUUGGUUUCCAGGGUUAUUAAAAUUCAUGGACAGAAAAACUGUAGGACUAAAGUAUCACGACCUUUUCAUUUCUAUUUCUAGGAAUUUGGAAAGCUACGGCCUACGUGAGUAUGCAUUGUAGACUGUUAGACGCCACAAGAAAAAGAAACAAAUUUGUAACAGAAGCUUCGAGUGCAUGAAAAUUUUCCUUCAAAAUAGAGUACAUGAAUUCACUAAAAUAAUCUAAGGAUUUCAAUCAAUGAGUUCCAUAUGGAGGAAAAACUAAAUUGUAUGAAAUCCCUUUGAGCCAAAGAAUAAUCCUGUGAGUAAUGGCUAAUUCCACAUUACAUAUUUGAACUAUGAAACUUGAUUCCCGCAAAAUAAAAACAGAACUAUGAAACUUGACAAAUGAAUCCAUCUUUAACGAAGAGGAAAACUGCAAUAAAUAAAAUUUAUGGUAGAUUUUUAAAUAAUGUAAUGUUAUGGAUAUUGUCAUUUGCUUAUAUUGAUGGUCCAACAAAAAAAUGUGUUUGUAUAUACACCACAUUCUUUUUUGAAACGGGACUUCUAGCCUAGUGGCAAAAUCGCGCUGGUGCAUCUUGGCAGACUCAAACCCGUAUCCGUGGGCGAGAUAUUAUUUCACGGCCUAAAACUCGACGUCUCACACCCUCCUUCUUAAUUAAAAUGCCACGCGGCUCCUCCCCCAUUGGUCUAGUAUACUACACUUAUAGUAAAAGGACCUUUUUUGUUUGGCAAAUGGGGCUAUUUUAGAUAUUUGAACCCUAAAUUACUAGUAGGUAGCCAAGAGCCCAAGAGAUGGCGGCUUCACGGAAACCAAACCACUGAGUUUGUAAUGAACUAGCCGGUUCUAGUUGCCAUAGGAUGUCAUUGUCACUCGAACCACAAAUCAAACAAGUUGGUCAUGCGGUGGUGUUUGGUCUGACAUGACAAGUUAGUCGGCUCGAUCGAUCGGUCCACUCAGGACCCGGUUCCUCAAACAAACUUGUCACUACUUCUCAUGAUUCUUUCUGGCCAAUGUGUGAAACAACGAAAUUCGAGCAUUCCUUUGGCGAUACUCAAUACAUCUUACCUCCACUUGAUGAUGAUGAAUAGGCCAAGUACUUCUUCCGACGCGCUCAUCGAGGAUUAAGAUGAAGCGCAUGACUACAUCACUAAAGGAAAUCUCUUCAGUGUUCAGCGAGCUGUACAUCAACAGAGUGAAGCUUUGGGCGACCGCAUCGAGCAACUCGCCACCGACUUAUGCCAAUCGGAAGCAAGGAACCGGGUCUAUCUUGACUCCAAAGCUAUCCACCCGAAUGGAAGAAUUUCGGCACAUGAUGGUCAACCACGCGUCUUCAACAUCUCCGUCUUCAAGACGGCGGUACUCAAGUCGACACUCUUCGGACACCUCUUCAGAUGGAAGUCUACCAUGAGCUCAUUCUCAUCUUUGAGACGACCAUCAUGAUUAUCAAGCUUCAUAAAAUUCAUUCCAUGGUAAUGGUUUACAAGACCUCCUUCGAGAGCGCGAACGACAUCGUCGCCAAGAACAAGAUGCCAUGGACCAAGAGCAAUCCCCACGACGUCACCGCCAAGAAAACCAAGACGGCGACACACUAUGGAAAGAACAACAAUGCUGUGAGAACCAAGCACUUGAAUCACAACUUGCCCUUCGAGAAGCCACACGCGCCGUCCAAGAGAAGAACCGCCGAAUGUGUGAGCAAGAAGAAGCGCUAUGCCAAGCGCAACAAGAUGAAGCCGCUCACAUUGAGGAACACAAAAGGACGAACCAUGCACGAAUCCCUCACCCCCAAUGUCAAACUAAUCAAGAGGGGCAAGAGGUUGAAGACCCACCUCCAAGACACGAGCGACGACACCAUAGGCAUAAUGACGAGCAAAGCUACGGUAAACUCAAGUUUGACAUACCUAAGUUCUUCGGAGGCACUGAUCCCAAAGACUGCCUCUCAUGGGCCUUAAAAGUGGACAAUAUAUUAUUCUUCAUAAAUACGAUGAGGAAGAGAAGGUAGCAAUGGCAUCACUUGAGUUCCAAGAUUAUGUUUUCAUUUGAUGGGAGCAAGUCAUCGAGCGACUCCAAGAGAAAGGUGAAUCACCCAUCAUAACUUGGACACAAUUGAAGGAUGUCAUGGGAGCCAGUUUUGCGCCUACACACUAUAGCCAUCAUCUCUUCAAGAAGCUACAACUCCUCAAGGAAGGCACAAAGUCGGUUGAAGACUACUACGUAGAAAUGGAGAUUGCUAUCAUUCGAGCCAAUUUCAAGGAAGAUGACGAGCAAACUAUGGAGCGUUUCUUGAAUGGACUCAACCAUCCUAUCAAGAAAAUUGCGGAUUUCCAACAAUACUCCAACCUCCUCGAGCUAGUACAUUAAGCAACCAAGGCGGAGUGACAAGUACAAGAUGACUUCAAGUACUCCAAGUACUCUUUCAAGACCUAUGGUUCAUAUACUCAAGCUUCCAAAACCAUGACACCUCCAACAACUACUAGUCGAGCUCCAACAAGCAAUGACGACAAGUCAAGUUCUAAGCAACCAAUGACUUCGUAGAUUCGUUCCACUAAAAGAAACUAUAAACAUGGAUCUUCAUCCUCCACUUCCAUCCAAUAUUUCACUUGCAAGGGUCGCGGCCACAAGACAGUUGAGUGUCCCACAUGGCGCACCAUGAUUGCCAAUGAUGACGACACAUACGACUCCAUGAGCGGUCAAAGAAAUGGAAGCCUUGGAACACGUUGUCAUGCACCAUCAAGUGAAUGAAGAUGAAGGCGCUCAAGUCAUUUGUGAGAAUGAUUCAAGCCCCGCUCUCAUUGUCUCCAAGUUCUUGACACUUCAACAACAAUAAGACGAAGACCAACGUUGCCAUAUCUUCCACACCAAAGAGGGCAUUGAUGACCCACAAGUGUAGGGGAUCUAUCGUAGUCCUUUCGAUAAGUAACAGUGUCGAACCCAACGAGGAGCAGAAGUAAAUGAUAAGCUGUUUUCAGUAAGGUUUUCUGCAAGCACUGAAAUUGUAGGUGAUCGAUAGUUUUAUGAUAAGAUAAAUAGUAACGAGUAACAAGUAAAUAAAGUAAAUAAGGUGCAGCAAGGUGGCCCAAUCCUUUAUGUAGCAAAGGAUAAGCCUGGACAAUUUCUAAUAAUGACAAAGGAGCUCCCGAGGACACAUUGGGAAUUAUCGUCAAGCUAGUUUUCAUCACAUUCAUAUGAUUUACGUUCGGUACUUAGAUAAUUUGAUAUGUGGGUGGUUUGGUGCUUGGGUACUGCCCUUACUUGGACAAGCAUCCCACUUAUUAUUAACCCCUAUUGCAAGCAUCCGCAACUAAAACAAAAGUAUUAAGGUAAACCUAACCAUAGCAUGAAACAUAUGAAUCCAAAUCAGCCCCUAACGAAGCAACGCAUAAACUAGGGUUUAAGCUUCUGUCACUCUAGCAACCCAUCAUCUACUUAUUACUUCCCUAUGCCCUCCUCUAGGCCCAAUAAUGGUGAAGUGUCAUGUAGUCGACGUUCACAUGAGACCACUAGAGGAGAAGACAACAUACAUCUCAUCAAAAUAUCGAACGAAUACCAAAUUCACAUGACUACUAAUAGCAAGACUUCACCCAUGUCCUCAGGAACAAACGUAACUACUCACAAAGCAUAUUUAUGUUCAUAGUCAGAGGUGUAAUAAUAUGAAUUAAGGAUCUGAACAUAUGAUCUUCCACCAAGUAAACCAACAAGUAUCAACUACAAGGAGUAAUCAACACUACUAGCAACCCACAGGUACCAAUUUGUGGUUUUGGAUACAAGAAUGGAUACAAGAGAUGAACUAGGGUUUGAGAGGAGAUGGUGCUGGUGAAGAUGUUGAUGGAGAUUGACCCCCUCCCGAUGAGAGGAUCGUUGGUGAUGACGUUGGUGAUGAUUUCCCCCUCCCGGAGGGAAGUGACCCCGGCAGAACAGCUCUGCCAGAGCCCUAGAUUGCUUCCGCCAAGGUUCCGCCUCGUGGCGGCGGAGUUUCGUCCCGUAAGCUUGCCCCCGAUUUUUCUAGGAUAAAAGUGAUGAUAUAGCAGAAGAUGGACGCCGGAGGCCCACCAGGGGGGCCAGGAGAUAGGGGGUGUGCCCUAUAGGGGGCGUCCCCUGUCUCCUGGACAGGGUGUGGGCCCCCUGGACUAUUUCUUUCGCUCAGGAAUUCUUAUAAAUCCCAAAAAGUUGUUUCGUGGAGUUUCAGGACUUUUGGAGUUGUGCAGAAUAGGUUUCCAACGUUUGCUCCUUUUCCAGCCAGAAUUCCAGCUGCCGGCAUCCCCCCUCUUCAUGGUAAACCUUGUAAAAUAAGAGAGAAUUGCCAUAAGUGAUGACAUAUAUUGUGUAAUAACAGCCCAUAAUGCAAUAAAUAUUGAUAUAAAAACUUGAUGCAAAAUGGACGUAUCAACUCCCCCAAGCUUAAACCUUGCUUGUCCUCAAGCGGAAGCCGAAAUCGAAAAUAUGUCCACAUGUUUAGAGAUAGAGGUGUCGAUAAAAAUAAAAUACGGACAUGAGGGCAUCAUGAUCAUUCUAAUAACAGCAACAUAUAUAGAUUUUGUCAUAUGAUUUCCUAUGCUUAAGUAACAAGCAAUUCACAAUGUCAAAUAUGGUUCAGAAACUUCAUUGGGAACUAACAAACUAUAAUCUCAGUCAUUGAAGCAAUUUCAAUUUAUCGUAACAUCAGAAAGAGUCAAUAAAAGAGCUUUUCAGCAAGCUCACAUACUCAACUAUCUCAUAGUCCUCUACAGUUGCUAACACUCACGCGGUACUUUAUGGUUAUGGAGUUUCAGCCGGACACUGAGAAAGAUAGGGGCUUAUUGCGUUGCCUCCCAACGUAUUCACCUUUGGGAUAUGUAUACCAGUGGCAGCCCUUAGAACAGACACGGCCAGUUUGCAAAUUUUAAAACAUAAGUUUUUUAGCGCGCAUGAAAAACAGAAUACGUAUCUUUUCAAACAUAAUGAACUAUAGUUACUGUUCGGUGAUAUUUUGUCAUGGUUUUGCGAGUUUAAAAAUUUCAAAUCAUAAUUGGAAGUUCGAGAAAAUAUCAACUGGGUUCUCAUUUGCCAAGUGAAAAAGAAAUCAUAGUGAUGUACAGGGGUGGUGACAAUCAGACGCUGAGGACACACACGCGUGAGGCAUCUUAGAAUUUUACGUGGCUUAGUAGAUGGCAGCGUUCUCUAAGAAAAAAAGAUUAUAAAUGGGACCCAUAGCUAAAGAGGAAUAAUAAGUACACAUGGUGGAUUGAUUGGUACGUGCUGGAUUACUUGGACCAUUCGCUACUACGUGCACAUACAUGUUUAGAUGCAUGCACAAGUGACAGCCGUUGGCAGGUAUGAUUUGAACUUUUGGAGUUCGUUUAGUUGGAUAAGUAUGCAUGCGUGAUAUCCAGGAGUUCUGCCACAGGUGCGAGGAAGCUGUUGGUCAGUGGCCGUUGAAUCUACUCCAGGAUAAGCCAUACGGGAUACAUAGAUAAUCAUCAGAUGUGUCGAGAGGAGGAGAGGUUCGAGUUCUGAGGCGGCCGCAUAGCGCAACGGCAGUUCAUUUCUCACAGCAACCACGCCGCCGCCAGCACCACACACAUACACAUCUACAUGACAGCUCGAUCAAAUCUCCAACAUGUUAGGAAAUAUGCAACUUAUCUCUAUUGAAGGCCCAAGGGGCAUAUAUAUAUUACACGUGACUUGAGGUGUAAGAAAACUAAACAUAGACUAAUAAGGACUCCUAGACCAAUACUAAUACUCCUUAACACCCCUCCUCAAAUGCAAAGCGUAUGCAAUAGCAUUGCAUUUGAAGAAGUGUAAUACCAAAAAAUAAUAAUUGAUAAUCCAAAUCCGCGUCUUGAGAGUGUCGUCGUAGCAUGAAGAGUCUUCAAAACCUGUCGAGUCACCAAAGGGGAUAACGAAGAGAUGGCACAUCAGAGGAAGACACCGCAUCGAUUGAAGAUACAAGAUAAGUAUCAAGAGAAGAUGGGUUGCCAAAAGAAGAUGGCACAUCAGAGAAUAAAGCAUUGUGCAAAAAAAUCAUGGUCCACGACAACCGACGGCGAAAGAAGCUCGACGGUUAAGGCACGAUGGACGAAGAUCGACAAUGCAAAAGGAGUCCAAAAAAUCAUAUAGAAAACAACAAGGGCAAGUAAGCCACAAAAGUUGUAUAGAAAGGAUCAGGACCAAAGAAAAGGCUGAUGAACAAUGGUAUGGUGGACUCACAUGACAUGAGAAAACACAAAAUUUCAACGAAUUUGGUGGACACAGCGGAAAACAGAGAAAACUAAUCUGCCAAAAAGCUAGGAAGCAUAAACGACACAAAGAUGCAAAAUCCAUCGUGUAUGUAGAAGACAUUGGACUGUUUUUUUUUUUUUUUUUUUGAAAUCAAGAUGGGAACGGACAUACGCUAGCACGCGGUCACAUACGUGACGGUAAGACAGCAGCUAGCAUGCAGGAACGAACACAGCAGCAAAGCAGCAGCUAUAGCUCAGCAGCCGGAAGCGAUCUGGCCAGGGAGGUGAAGGCGGCCUCGGCCUUGAGCUGGACGAGGCGACCUCAACUUGGAGCUGGACGAGGUAACCCCGAUCUGGCGCACAGGUGUGAACGCAGCAUAGUAGCCAACCAGGCAAGGCGGGCUUUGAUCCAUGCAGACGAUCACGGCUGGGCAGGCGCACGUCACGGGCGCACUCGUCACCAGUUUGGAUCGAGCGAAGCAGCUGGGCGGCAGGUGCCCCACGCAGCAUGAGAACGACAGCGGAAGACGAGAUCGACCCUGAGAAGAAUAGAUCGAUCGAGAAAAAAAAAUCUAGUGGAUCGUAAGGACGAGUUGCGGCGUCCGGAGACCUAAACCUAGGCUCUGAUACCAUGUUAGGAAAUAUGCAACUUAUCUCUAUUGAAGGCCCAAGGGGCAUAUAUAUAUUACACAUGACUUGAGGUGUAAGAAAACUAAACAUAGACUAAUAAGGACUCCUAGACCAAUAUUAAUACUCCUUAACAUUGUUGAGUAACGUGAUUGUAUAGGAAAGCUAGGAUAGCGUAGGAUAUUAUUCUACCUUGCCUUGUACUCCAAGAUGAUCAUGUACUCCUAUAUAUAUGCCCACGAGGCUCAAGCAAUACAAUUGACUAUUCCACCAAUCCCUCUCUCUCCCUUCUAACAUGGUAUCAGUUUCCGGGUUCUAAACCUUAGCCGUCGCCGCUUCCACACCCGCGCGCCGCCCCUGGGGCGGUCCGUCUCCAUGACCGCCGCCGGGGGCCGCGUCGCCCGUACCUAGGGUUCGUCCGCCGGCCGUGUUGGCCGGCUACCCUAGAGAGUCUUUUUCCCGAUCCUUUGAUCCGGGUUUUUCUCUCUCUCGCCGGUCGCUUUGAUCGGCGUUUACUUUUUGGUUUUCUGAUUCACUCGAUCGGUUUGCGUCGCCCACCGCCGCCGUCGACACCUGGCGCCUCUACUCCGACAUCGGCGCGACCGGGCGGCUACUUCACCGACCCGGCGGCCUCGUGUGACAGGCAGCCCUCAAGGCCGUCGUCCGCGCACCGGCCCGCCCGUCGCCCUGCGUCAGCCAUCACCGCCCUGCUCCGACCGGGACUCUUGCAUCACCCGACCCGGCGGCCUCGCGCCAUGCGGCGGCCAAUCAUAGCCGCCCUGUCGCCCGCCGUCGUCGGCCUCAUCCAGGACUCCGCCGCCACCACGCCUCCAUCGAGCGGCGUCCCCGUCCUCGGACGCGAUUGGCUUGAUCACCCGCUUGCCGCCGCGAUCUGCCUCAUCUACGCCGCGCGACCAACCUCGACCGUUGGUGACGCGCGCCUCCGCACGUCCCGUGAAGAUCGUCCUGAGUACCGCGCGCCUAUCCACCGAUCGAACAUCGGGCUACCGCUGCGUCGCCCCGUCGGGCCGCAGUGCCGCCGCCCCGUGGUUCUUCUCCCGGCUGCACCGACCCGCGUCACCGCUGCGUCGCCCCUUCGGGCCGUAGUGCUGCAGCCCGCGGUCCACCGCCGCCCCUGGGCCGUCCGCUCCAUGACGUCCCAUGGCUGCACCGACACUCGCGCCGCCGCUGCGUCGCCCCGUUGGGCCGUAGCGAGCGUGGCACGCGGUCCACGCCGCCGUCCCGAGGCCGUCCCGCGGUUGCACCGACCCGCGCUCCUCCGCCGCGCCGCCCCUUCGGGCUAUCGCGACGCGGCCCGCGGUCUCUGCCGCCGCCCCGAGGUCUUCCCGCCGUCACCCCGACCUACCCGCCGCCGUUGCGUCGCCCCUUUAGGCCGUAGUGCCGCGGCCCGCGGUCCACUUCGUCGUCACCGCACGUCGACUUCCCGUGGUAUGCGCCGCGCCGUCUUCCUUGGCGCGGGAACGCCACCGUCCGCGCCGGUCUUCAUCAUGCUGUCAGGGUUCUUCGCCUACUUCGAGCACCGCCGCCGCACUCCUAACCUAGCCGCCGCCGCCGCCGCUCUUCAUUGGCCGCCGUCGGCUACCUCCGUAGCUGCCGCCGCCGCCCGUCCACCCCGUUCGUCUUCGUCUAGCAUCCAGCCCGUCACCAGCAUCGCCGUCAUCUACCCCGACCACUUCGUCUACUCCGACCACCGUUGGUGACAUUGGCCCCGUGCCGAUGGAUGCCACAACCGUCGUUGAGUUCUUCUCUGCUGGCCCUCCGACUUCUUCUACAUGGCGUACAGCUCGUGCAGGUCCCUAGUCUACGCAUGCCCGGUGCUGGCAACACCGUCGCGUGCCUUCGUCCACAACGUGUCCCCGGGCCUGGCAAGCCUGGUGCGACGCUUCGUCAACUUCGUCUUCGUCCGUCUACGCAUGCCCAGUGCUGGCAACACCGCCGCGUGUCUUCGUCCACGACGUGUCCCCGGGCCUGGCAAGCCUAGCGCGACGCGUCGUCAACAUCAUCUCCGUCCUGGCGCACCACUACUUCGACACCACUGCGCCCAUGCUAACUUGGCGCCCCCUUGCGCCCGCGGCUCCACGGCGACUUCCUCGACACCGGCCACCCUGACUCGACAUCGACCACGGCAUUCUUCGCACGGCUACCUCGACCACGGCUCCACCACCCACGCUCUCGGCUACAUCGACAAACGGCACAAAGGGCUACCGCCUGCUUGAGCAACCUCGUCGGUUGCCACUCCAGCCACGACUCCGCGAUGCGUCGAUCGUUACGACUGUGGGGGGGUGUCCGUCGGCUUGCCUUCGGAUUCUUCUCCAGUCUCAUCGUCUGCGUCGCUACCGUUGUGACUGCGAGGGGAUGUUGAGUAACGUGAUUGUAUAGGAAAGCUAGGAUAGCGUAGGAUAUUAUUCUACCUUGCCUUGUACUCCAAGAUGAUCAUGUACUCCUAUAUAUAUGCCCACGAGGCUCAAGCAAUACAAUUGACUAUUCCACCAAUCCCUCUCUCUCCCUUCUAACAUAUUGAAUUCAUGCUCCAACCAACUCAUCCAAAAGUCUGAACUGAUGGAGGGAGGCGGACAAUAUUUCAACACUCCCCCUCACGUCUAGGCUAUUAUAGUCCUUAGACGUGGGAUCGAUGUAGGUCGCAGAAUUGUUUUAUUUAAUACUGCGUUGGCAGGGUCUUGAACUCAAGACCUCUUGGCUCUGAUACCAUAUUGAAUUCAUGCUCCAACCAACUCAUCCAAAAGUCUGAACUGAUGGAGGGAGGCGGACAAUAUAUUUCAACACAACACAACAUUAGCAAUCACGGCUCCUUGCAAUCUUUACUCCGCGUCUCCAUUUCAAGGACCGGAUCGGUGAUGUUACUUGGUAAGUGAGCCGCAUGAAGGUGUGAAAUGCGGCUAUUUUAUUUCUUUCUUCCGUUUUCUUCUUCCAUUGCAGGUUGGUAAUGCCUCGCCUUUCAACCUGACGAUCGAAUCGUUGCCGCUGGCGUUUUACCGUUUGAUCUACAAAAGGAAUAUAUGACGUCCUGCGGCUCUACCCGAUGCUUCAAUCAUCGCCGCGGAUAUGCCAUGAUCUGAUGUAAAAAAAAGAGUUAUUGCAUCCCGCGGCUCUACAUGACGAUCUAAUCAUCGCCGGGGAUGUGUAUAGAUCCAAUAUGAAAAAAAGUGAGUGAUGACAUCCAGCGGCUCUAUAUGACGAUCUAAUCGUCGCCGCGGAUGUCUAUAGAUCCGAUAUGGAAAAAGAGAGUGAUGACAUUUACUGGCUCUACCUGACGUUACAAUCGUCGCCGCAGAUAUGCCACGAUCUGAUGUGAAUAAAAGAUAGCUAUUGCAUCCCGCGGCUCUACUUGACGCUUCAAUCGUCGCCGCGGAUGUAUGAUAAUGAUGUAUUAAAAGAGACAAUUACGACAUCUCGCGGCUCUACCUGACACUCCAAUCGUCACCGUGGAUGUAUGAUGAUCCGAUAUAAAACGGAGAUGGUAUGACAUCUUGACUCUAUAUGGCGAUUGAAUCGCUGAUGUGGACUUUUCACCGUCAAGUGGCCGCCUUGUCAUUUUUUUUACCCUUUGAUCUUUAUUUAUUUGAGUUCUGUUGAUUUGUGAUGAUCUACAUGCAAAUUCGUGCAUGCAUUACUGUACACGUACCAGCCUGCAUGGGACAUGGCAUGAGCAGAAGCCUUCCCGAGACUGCAACAUAUACACACAUCCUGAACUAGAGUUUGCAAGCAUUUACAAAGAAGGAGAUUCACUUGACAUGCAGAGGUCAACUUCAUAAUGAGAGUGGAGCACGUACCAACAAUGACAUGGCCAUCUUCACAGGGAUAAUAAGACGCCAUUGUUCAAAGUUUAUACACUCAUUAUUCACGUCGACUGUCAGUUCAUUAUUCAAUCUCUCUUCUUUUUUUUAACCCACGAGGCCGGAAUAUGAUGCAUACAUAUCCUAACCGCCAUGGUUUGAAACACAUAGUCUGCGACCGACGGGGCCGGCCGGACAACUGCUUCAAGGCUUCAUAUCAGAUUUUUGACCGACUGCUCAUGGAGAGGUGGGGCUCAAUAUUACAUGGUUGAUGAUAUGUUAUGACUACAUCUUUAGCAAUGCAGUUUUUUUUUUGUCCCGAGCAUUUUUAGAAGGGCUUAUCUUGAAUCAAAAGGUCAUGUUGUAACUCCUUGACAUGUAAACAUUUCUCAUAGUGGAUUUGGCCUCCGUGCCACCGUGGUUUUUUACCCAACUUGGGUUUUUCUACGUUAAAAUGUGUGUCCCCUGUCUGUGCUUUGAUGAUCUGUUUUAUUUCCAUGCAUAUAAUUAUGAAGGGUGAGAUAGAGAUUUUAUAAAGAUAAGAUGAUCAUUUGAUUCAGCUUAAUCGGAGGUAUUGUGCAAGUGUAGAUUCGCAGAUGUAAUUAACUGGAAUUAUUUCAAGGUUCCAGGAAUUAAGGACUUCUGCAAUCGUCUCAGUCAGAUAUAUAUAUUCAGGCGCAAUAUGGAACAUACAUGUGAAAUAGAAAUAGGCAAUCCUUUGAUAAUUCGAUAAAGUGUGAGUCUCCUAUUUCCGUGUAUUCGAAGUAAUGAAUUCGUAUACGCUCGUAUACUGGCACGCCUGCACCUAAAAUGCCAACGCAGGUAGAUUUAAUAUUUAUCUUGCGAAAACAGGUACCACCAAAAAAACAUAAUGAACUAUAGGUUGUCACAAGAACUCAUGCCAUCCCACAGCCUCCCUCCGACCCUGCCAACAUUGUUGCAGCUGCACUCGGAACCAUUACCAUAGAUGAUCAUUUGCAUGAUUUCACGUAAAACAAAAUAAGAUCUACAAACGAAUAGAAGCUACACAUACCUUGGCAUGCACACACAUUGCAAGCCAUACUAAGCUGAUAAGUGUUAAUAACUUGUACAACAUAUACAACACUUAAGAUAAGUAAAAGCAAUUUGAUGAGUCAUGGUCUACCAAAGCAAGCUGCAGUAUUACUCUAAUCUAUCUUAACAGGUCACACAUGAUUACAAUCCUUUUUGUGUGCAAGUCAAGCUUAUCUAGUUUACACCUAACAACUUGUAGAACAUUACACAAUUGAUGUUUGCUAAUAACUUCUAGAAAGAUACACCAAUUGACAUGUAAAAGGAAUUUGAUGAGUCAUGACCUACUAAAGCAAGUUACGUUACUAGUCUCAUCUAUCUUAACAGGUCACACAAGAUUACAAACUAAGUUCUGUGUAAGCAAUGCUUAUCUAGUUUACAAAUAACAACUUGCAAAACAUUACAAACUUAGUUUCAAAAAAUUAGGCAAUCUAGAUUAGUGUUUGAGCUGUAAAGUGAAUAAGAUGAGUCAUGUGUGUUAUCACAACUUUUUGGUGGUGGAAUGAUAGUGCCACCAAACACAACAUACCAAAUUAUGAUUUCAGGAAGCACCCAAGCACUUUCCAGACAAGCAAAUGCCAAUUGUGAAGGAGAUGAUGCCAUGGCAGCUAUAAAUAGGCCUAUAGCAUGAUGAUCAUCCUUCAGCAUCCAUCAUUCUCAUAAGUAGAGUGCAUCAUUCAAGCCAAGCAAGCAGUGGUCAAUACAAAUCCACCAUGAAGUCAUUUCUCAUCCUUGCCCUCCUUGCUAUCGUGGCGACCACCGCCACAACUGCAGUUAGAGUUCCAGUGCCACAAUUGCAGCCACAAAAUCCAUCUCAGCAACAACCACAAGAGCAAGUUCCAUUGGUGCAACAACAACAAUUUCUAGGGCAGCAACAACAAAAAUUUCCAGGGCAGCAGCAACCAUUUCCACCACAACAGCCAUAUCCGCAGCCGCAACCAUUUCUGCCACAACUACCAUUUCCGCAGCCGCAACCAUUUCCACCACAACAAUCAUAUCCACAACCGCAACCACAGUAUCCACAACCACAACAACCAAUUUCGCAGCAACAAGCACAACAACAACAACAACAACAACAACAAAUCCUUCAACAAAUUCUGCAACAACAACUGAUUCCAUGCAAGGAUGUCGUCUUGCAACAACCCAACAUAGCACAUGCUAGCUCACAAGUAUCGCAACAAAGUUACCAACUGUUGCAACAAUUAUGUUGUCAGCAAUUGUGGCAGACCCCCGAACAGUCACGGUGCCAAGCCAUCCACAAUGUCGUGCAUGCUAUUAUUCUGCAUCAUCAACAACAACAACAACAACAACAACAACAACAACAACAACAACAACAACAACAACAACAACAACAACCGUCGAGCCAGGUCUCCUACCAGCAGCCUCAACAAUAAUAUCCAUCGGCCCAGGGCUCCUUCCAGCCAUCUCAGCAAAACCCACAGGCCCAGGGCUUUGUCCAACCUCAACAACUGCCCCAGUUCGAGGAAAUAAGGAACCUAGCACUGCAGACGCUACCUGCAAUGUGCAAUGUCUACAUCCCUCCAUAUUGCUCGACCACCAUUGUGCCAUUUGGCAUCAUCGGUACUAACUGAGAAGAGAAGAACUCUAGUACUAGAUAUAUGAAACACCGUUUUCUUAGACCAUGGUUUGGUCGUUGUGGCGGUGAAAAAUAAAGUGACAUGAUCUAUCAUGUAAGAACCCGAACUAUACUAUUUCAAACUUGGGAAUAAAAGACAAACACAGGUCUUUUCUGCAUAUGAUUGUUUGUUUGAGUUCCAUUCAUGUGCCCGUUCACAAGUUCACCCCUAAUUAUAUAUAUUAAGCAUUAAUUAGAUGUUUAUGUGCAUUAAUCUAAAGAUAACAGAAUGAAUCUGAAACUUGAAUUUAAUUGAAGUAUUUUCUUAGACUUUCAAAUUGAGCAUUGAUAGUGAGGACUAUCCACAUCCUUGGCUUGCCCUUGAUCAAUUCUUUCCAAAUAAGCAUUCAAUUCAUCAGUCAAUUACAUUGAUUUUUGUGGCUUGUACUUCUCCUCAACAUGAGUAUCUUCGUUGCGGCUACUCCAAAUCUCCCACAUAACUGAAGCAUUAAUAGCACUCUUCCUUACAUCAAGAAAAUAUGGAUCGAAGAUAUGUCUUGACCAUGUUUCUGGGUGCAACCUUGGUAGUUUUAUGUCAAAAUAUUCUCAAGCAGAAUCCAAGAAUAAACUUGCAUGCUCACGUGUGAUAAGGGCAUAUGAAGUAACAUUUCCUCACCAAGGCCACACAUAGGGCACACACAUAACCCCAUCACAUGCCUUUUUAGUUAUGCAUAUGAAGGUAGGAUGUUUUUAAUUACUCUGCACCAAAAUACUCUUAACUUGGGUUGUAACCCAAGCUUCCGUUGCCUUUUAAAUUUUUCUUCCCCAUUAGAUGAACUAGACAGUCCAGCUACCACACGAUACCUUGUGUUCAUCACGGCUCUGUACAACAAUUGAACAGAAGAAAUGUCAUUUAUUUACCAUACCCAUGACCAAAUGUUCUCUCCUACUCCCUCCGUCCCAAAAUACUUGUCAUUAAAAUGGAUAAACGAGGAUGUAUCUAGAUGUGUUUUAGUUCUAAAUACAUCUCUUUUUGUCCAUUUUGAUGACAAAUAUUUCCGGACGGAGGGAGUACAUUAUUUGGUCGUGGCAUAUUAAGGAUGGCCACUUCACCUGAUGGGAUAAACACGUAAUGAAUGAAUGGAGUGUUCCAGUCGCGCGUGUUUUUUCAUCGAUAAGAUCAGCUACAAGUUGGACCAGAGUUCCUCACAUGUAUCAUAGUGGUUUCAUCAGCGGCGUGCCCUGCACCCAUUUAGCAUACCAUAUCUCUGUAGUAUGUGCAUUCCCAAUUUUUCACAACAUACCCUCCUUCAAACCUUCUCAUCCUUUCAGAAUAGCAUGCCAAGUUAACGAUGCACUAUGCGGGAACCCGCAUUUGAAAAAAAAAUCAUUUCAUGGUAUCUUCCGUGAAGGACCCUCGUACAUGAGCUAUCUAGAUAGAAAUAGUCAUGUGUGUUUAGCCAACUUUGUAUAAGUGAAUAUAUCAAGGUCGUGGAACCCCAAGCCUCCAAUUACACCCGGCCUCUCUACCAACAAGAUGUCCAAAGACAUCAAGGAUACACAUCCAAAAAAGAAAAUAAAAAGAACAGAAGAAAAAAAAUACCCCUCCAUGGUGAUCAAUCGCUAGCAUGCAUCAGUAGCACUCUAACCAUCACCGAAGACAAUGCCCGGAUUACAAAAAAGGUUCUCCAAAAGCAACGCCCCCAAAAAGGAAACAAUGCACAAGCGUUGUCGUUGCCCGAUCGAAGAUCGUGGGUAUUCACCUUGGAAAAAUUCCGAGUUCACCCAAAAACAAUGCCUUCAACAAGGCCAUUGCCAAGUACAAACAAUGAGGACCAGACCUUGGGUUUUCACCCUAGGAAUUGAGAAUCGAUACUCGAGGAGUACCACCAAAAAUACAUCACCCACCUCUUGAUCCAGACCUGCAGAAAAAGAUCAAAAACGCCGCAUCGUGCCACCCGUAUCCGUGGAGGCCUGAACUUGGCAAGACGCCAAACAUGGCUGGAGAUGGGGACCAACCACACCUGGCCAGAUCUGGUGACUCCUAGUCCCACCGCUGCCGCUACAGCAGCACCGCGUGUAGCAUACCAUCCCAUCUACGCUGUUGUCUGAUUAGAAGGAUACAUGGAUAUACAUAUGGAAAGGCCCACAUUUUCCCUCCAACAAUAUAAAUAAAGCUUAUUAGGAUGUGAGAAAGCUCACACAAUUUUAUACUGGCUAUGCAAACGUGUUCCCCGCUUCUACAGGAUACCCGCCGCCGAACUCACCAUCCGUUCUACACAAGCAGUAAAACCGAUCGGAUUACCAUUUCGGUUGUUACUUCUAUAGUCUAAUGGAACGAUCACUUCCAGAAUUACGCCAUGGUGCCAUCUUUUAUAUGCAACAUAUUGUGAACUGUAUUUUCUGUCAGUGAAGUUGACAAAAUAGAGUAAUACAGGGUACAGGGGUAGAGCAUGCAGGUGGUGGUUGUUGUGUGGUUUGUGUGUUAGUUAUGUGUGUACCUGGCGUCGAAGUAGCGUUGGCUGGCCAGCUGCAGCUCAUAGGCGCACGAGCACAACGGUGGCACGGCCACCACCGCCUCCACUGCGCGCAACGCCGAGAAGCAACAAGCAUGUUAGAAUUUGUCCGUGGACACUCGAUGGAUCGACCUGAUCGAUCACUCAUUUUGUGCAUACUCACCACCACACAUGGCUGAACCGAGCAUCCUCCUGGCGGCGCCCAAUGAGACCGUCCUCGCAGCGGCCACGGCUCGAUAGUUCGCCCCCAUGCGCGCGGUACGGUGCCGCAGCCUGCAGUCAAAACAGAGCACGCAGAGCACUAUCGGUGAGAUUGAAGGAGAGGAAUAUUGAAAUGGAAACUUAGCUAUAGGAGGUGAAGGCAAGGGGGGCUGGUGCAAGGGGAGGGAGACUCCUGGAGCUAGGGAGCACGCGGACGCCAUUUCUCAUGGUGCAAGUUUGUUUCAAUCUCCGAUCCUGCUCGCUGUUGAUUAUGGGUACAGUAAAUUUUAGCUAGCUACGAUGCAAACUAAGUGGUAUGCCUGGUCUUAACCUAUCUAUCUAUGUUAUCUUCUAUUCGGCGAGGUGGCUGCGCCUGUGGCGGAUGUGGCCGCUGCCAUGCCUUCCACCUGACCUGGUCAAUCUCCCUCUCCUAUAUUCGAGAAAAAAAAAGAUCUUUGUCUUCUCUUCUGAUCAGAUGGGGAGGAGAUGGUGAGAGAUGAGGUCAAUGGCUUUGGGGAGAGGAUAAGGGCGGACGCCAGCAGUGAGGCGGCAUGAGGAAGAUGAGGUGGUUAGCGGUGGCGACACAUGAGGGGAGGGGAAGGGAGGGGUAGCGUUGCAAGGAGGGGAGUGGGUGUGCGGCGUGCCCAGUUCACAAGAGAGGAGAGAGGUCGUCAAGGGAGCGAUCCAUGGGAGUUUUUUUCCUUCUAAGCGAGCCUAGUUGGGCUCUCUGCAGCGUCCAAGGCCCAAUGCACAACAUAUCUUCAAAUUUGCCACCAAUAGCAGCCCUUAGAACAGACAAGGCCAGUUUGCAAGUUUUAAAACAGAACUUUUUUAGUGCGCAUGAAAAACAGAACACGUAUCUUUCCACACAUAAUGAACUAUAGGUACGACCAAAAGAAAAACAUAACGAACUAUAGGUUGUCACAACAACUCAUGCCAUCCCACGGCCUCCUCCGACCCUGCCAAAAUUGUUGCAUCUGCACUCGCAAGUGUUACCGUAGAUGAUCGCUUGCAUGAUUUCACGUAAAAUAAAAUAAGAUCUACAAACAAAUAGAAGCUACACAUACCUUGGCAUGCACACACAUUGCAAGCCAUACUAAGCUGAUAACUGUUAAUAACUUGUACAACAUAUACAACACAUAAGACAAGUAAAAGCAAUUUGUUGAGUCAUGGUCUUUCAAAGCAAGCUGCAUUACUACUCUAAUCUAUCUUAACAGGUCACACAUGGUUACAAUCCUUUUUGUGUGCAAGUCAAGCUUAUCUAGUUUACACGUAACGACUUGUAGAACAUUACAGAAUUGAUGUUUGCUAAUAACUUCUAGAACACUACAACACUUUACAUGUAAAAGGAAUUUGAUGAGUCAUGACCUACUAAAGAAAGUUACAUUAUACUAGUCUCAUCUAUCUUAACAGGUCACACAAGAUUACAAACUAAGUUCUGUGCAAGCAAUGCUUAUCUAGUUUACACGUAACAAAUUGCAUAAUAUUACAAACUUACUUUUAGAAAAUUAGGCAAUCUACAUUAGUGUUUGAGCUGUAAAGUGAAUAAGAUGAGUCAUGUGUGUUAUCACAACUUUUUGGUGGUGGAAUGAUAGUGCCACCAAACACAACAUACUAAAUUAUGAUUUCGGGAAGCAUCCAAGCAGCCAGUUCUCCUACCAGCAGCCCCAUAACCAAUAUCCAUCAGGCCAAGGCUCCUUCCAGCCAUCUCAGCAAAACCCACAGGCCUAGGGCUCUGUCCAGCCUCAACAACUGCCCCAGUUCGAGGAAAUAAGGAACCUAGCGCUGCAGACUCUACCAACAAUGUGCAAUGUCUACAUCCCUCCAUAUUGCUCGGCCACCAUUGCGCCAUUUGGCAUCGUCGGUAGUAACUGAGAAGAGAAGAACUUUAGUACUAGAUAUAUGAAACGCCAUUUUCUUAGACAAUGGUUUGGUCGUUGUAACCAUGAAAAAAUAAAGUGACAUGCACAUGUCAUGUAAGAACCCGAACUAUACUAGUUCAAACUUGGGAAUAAAAGACAAACACAGGUCUUGUUUGCAUAUGAUUGUCUGUUUGAGUUCCAUUCAUGUGCCCGUUCACAAGUUCACCCCUAAUUAUAUAUACUAGUAAAUAUGCCCGUGUGUUGCUACGGGCCAUGCAUUGUCUAAA
rnacentral:lncRNA from 1 species